AUCGGCUAGCCGGGGAGAUAGCGGUGCCCUGUAGCCCGCAAUCCGCUAUAGCGGGGGUGAAUUCCUGCCCGAGGCGGUGUAUUGUAUUGUACGGCUUCAUACGGAGGUGUUGAGGAAUCGGUCUUGCGCGGAAAGAACCCGCGAAUCGUGUCAGGGGAGAGAUUCAGCAGCACUAAACGGUAACUCUUUGGCGCCGCGAGGCAGCCGGUUCUGAGCUGAAGUAUGGAAUACCGAGUAUAAUGCUCCGUCAAAGGCGGGUGCCGGU
rnacentral:SRP_RNA from 1 species